AGUGAACGCUGGCGGCAGGCCUAACACAUGCAAGUCGAACGGCAGCACAGUGGAGCUUGCUCCAUGGGUGGCGAGUGGCGGACGGGUGAGGAAUACAUCGGAAUCUGCCCAGUCGUGGGGGAUAACAUAGGGAAACUUAUGCUAAUACCGCAUACGACCUACGGGUGAAAGCGGGGGAUCGCAAGACCUCGCGCGAUUGGAUGAGCCGAUGUCCGAUUAGCUAGUUGGCGGGGUAAUGGCCCACCAAGGCGACGAUCGGUAGCUGGUCUGAGGGGAUGAUCAGCCACACUGGAACUGAGACACGGUCCAGACUCCUACGGGAGGCAGGAGUGGGGAAUAUUGGACAAUGGGCGCAAGCCUGAUCCAGCCAUGCCGCGUGGGUGAAGAAGGCCUUCGGGUUGUAAAGCCCUUUUGUCCGGAAAGAAACGCCUCGGAUUAAUACUCUGGGGUAAUGACGGUACCGGAAGAAUAAGCACCGGCUAACUUCGUGCCAGCCGCCGCCGUAAUAC
rnacentral:rRNA from 1 species